GAUGAACGCUGGCGGCGUGCUUAACACAUGCAAGUCGAACGGAAAGGCCCAAGCUUGCUUGGGUACUCGAGUGGCGAACGGGUGAGUAACACGUGGGUGAUCUGCCCUGCACUUCGGGAUAAGCCUGGGAAACUGGGUCUAAUACCGGAUAGGACCACUUCUUGGAUGUUGUGGUGGAAAGUUUUUUCGGUAUGGGAUGAGCUCGCGGCCUAUCAGCUUGUUGGUGGGGUAAUGGCCUACCAAGGCGUCGACGGGUAGCCGGCCUGAGAGGGUGUACGGCCACAUUGGGACUGAGAUACGGCCCAGACUCCUACGGGAGGCAGCAGUGGGGAAUAUUGCACAAUGGGCGCAAGCCUGAUGCAGCGACGCCGCGUGGGGGAUGACGGCCUUCGGGUUGUAAACUCCUUUCGCUAGGGACGAAGCGUUUUGUGACGGUACCUGGAGAAGAAGCACCGGCUAACUACGUG
rnacentral:rRNA from 1 species